GCGCGGGUAGCUCAGUGGUAGAGCGUUCGAUUGCAGCUCGAAGGGUCACUGGUUCAAUACCGGUCCCGCGCU
rnacentral:tRNA from 1 species